rnacentral:lncRNA from 1 species
GGAUGACAGCAUGUCACCGUCUAGCAGUGCUGCGUUUUUCACUUCUUCGAAUUCGCUGCUUAAGCUCGAAACCACUUGGAGGCCGAGGUUGCAGUAGUGCUCGUCUGCUGUAUGAUCAUCGGGGUCUUCACUGAAAUCGUCUGAGAUUACGCUGGAGGCAGCGCUUGCAGUUGUGUCUGCCUUUGCUGCUCGGACAGUGCGUAUGCCUUCCGAACGGAUGAUUUCUAAGACAACA